rnacentral:tRNA from 1 species
GGUGACCGACGGGACUCGAACCCGCAACCGCCAUCUUCACAGGAUGGAGCUCUCCCAGUUGAGCUACGGCCAC